rnacentral:rRNA from 1 species
UACAGAGGUCCCGAGCGUUGUUCGGAUUUAUUGGGCGUAAAGGGUGCGUAGGUGGCAAAGUAAGUUGGAUGUGAAAUCCUGGGGCUCAACUCAGAAUUGCAUUCAAUACUGCUUAGCUAGAGAGCUGUAGAGGAGACUGGAAUUUACGGUGUAGCAGUGAAAUGCGUAGAUAUCGUAAGGAACGCCAGUGGCGAAAGCGAGUCUCUGGGCAGCAUCUGACACUGAGGCACGAAGGCCAGGGGAGCAAACGGG